rnacentral:misc_RNA from 1 species
CAACCCUCAAGCUCAGCUUGGUAUUGGGCCUCGCAAUUAAACCAGCGGGCCUUAAAGUCAGUGGCGGUGCCGUUUGGGCUCUGAGCGUAGUAAAUCUCCUCGCUAUAGAGACCUGGCGGUGGUAGUCAUCAACCCCCCAACUUUCUAA